GAAAAGAAAACAACGUAAGAUAAUUUUAAAUUCCAUAUAUUAAACGAAUUACUAAGGAAUUUGAAAUAAAAUUAAAUAAGGCUACUAUUUUUGAACUUCUCGGAGAUCAACUACCCGUGUACCGUAAAAAUUAGUCUUGUUUUCAGCAGUUUCAAGGAUGGUUUGCUAGUUACAUGAAGUUUAAUAUAGUUAAAUCUAAUGUUUAUUUUUUUCUUUUAGCUAAAGACCGCUCUGUAUGCCAAUAUAUUAACAAUAAUUUUAUUUGCUAUUUCAGCAAGACAUUUGAGGUUAAUUUUUUCGUUUCAGAAAUCUGAUGGCACUGAAUUACGUCAAGAAAUAUAUACACAAUUCUACUUUUUGAAGAAUCAUUUUUAGACUGUCUGUCAAAAAUGGUCGAACGGAUCAUUGUUAAAGAAAAGCGUUAAAAAACCGUUGCUUAAAAAUGUUAUAUUGUGAAAUAAAUUCAUCUAUUAUUAUUACAUGACAUAACUUACUUUUACUUUUAUUACGAAUGUGCAAAAAAUUCAAAAGGGUAAUUAAUUCGUUCUGAACUCUCUUGCGAAUUAGAAGUACUAAAGCUUAUCCGAUAUUGCUACAGUUUUUUUUUAGUUCGGUACUUACAGUUGAGGAAAGCUCGAGAUGUGGAGAUGGAACCAUAUAUUCUUUUUUAUUUUCUUGGUGCCACAUACCCAAAGCAAAGAUCAACUAAAAAAGGACGAGAGCGUCGUUUACAUCUCAGCCGCUGUCCAAACAAUACCUAAUCCAAAUAUAGUUGGGCUAAAGAUCAAAAACAAAUUCGGUGCUCGAUCAGCAGAUGUUUAUCCAGUGCCUGUUAUACCCAAUCCGAAUUUUCCUACAACAAAACCUUCUUCUACGAAUAAAUUUUGUGCGAACAUUAAUAAUAACAUUGCAGCUGUGAAUAAUGGUAAAGCGGACACUGUAAUUAUAGUCAACUGCAUCUACGGAAACACAGAUUACAAAGAGGAAUUUGUGAAACGCGAUUUAAUUGUUGGAAACGCAACUUCGACUGAUUCUCCAUUCGGUAAUACAAAAGUCAUUAAAGCAAAACCAACAAAACCACCAGAAAAUUCAAAAAUUGCCCCAUUGCCACUUGAACGCAAUAUUACUCCAAAUGAUUUAGAUCCUCUUUCCCUACCAAUAAAUCAAACCUCAAGGCCGUAUCCUAAAGGUCCAUUUGAAAUUGACCCACCUCCUUCAAUAAAAAACCCAUUCAAUUCAAUAUUAUAUAAAUAAUAUAAGCCAGCCUUGGCAGCAGAUUCUUUUAGUGCCGCCACCAGUUCAUAGUCCAUUAUGUCCAACCCCUCAACUGCAAUCCGAGGCAUCCAUGUUACUGACAUAGUUACUUGUACCCCUGUCCCUUUUCUCCAAAAAUAAAGUUAUAUAUUUGAAAA